rnacentral:rRNA from 1 species
UACGUAGGGUGCAAGCGUUGUCCGGAAUUAUUGGGCGUAAAGAGCUCGUAGGCGGUCUGUCGCGUCUGCUGUGAAAACUCAGGGCUUAACCCUGAGCUUGCAGUGGGUACGGGCAGACUAGAGUGCGGUAGGGGAGACUGGAAUUCCUGGUGUAGCGGUGAAAUGCGCAGAUAUCAGGAAGAACACCAACGGCGAAGGCAGCUCGCUGGGACGG